rnacentral:rRNA from 1 species
UGAGGAACAUGACCUUCGGCGGGGGAUAGCCGGCCCAACGGCCGGGUAAUACCGCGUACGACCACUUUGGGACAUCCCUAGGUGGUGAAAGCAGCAAUGCGCCGAUGGAGUGCCUCGCGGCCUAUCAGCUAGUUGGUGGGGUAACGCUCACCAAGGCGACGACGGGUAGCUGGUCUGAGAGGAUGGCCAGCCACAGUUGGGACUGAGACACGGCCCAGACCUCCGUACGGGAGG